rnacentral:rRNA from 1 species
AAGUCGAACGGCUCUACGGAGCAGUGGCGGACGGGUGAGUAACGCGUGGGAGCGUGCCCUUUGGUUCGGAACAACACAGGGAAACUUGUGCUAAUACCGGAUGUGCCCUUCGGGGGAAAGAUUUAUCGCCAUUGGAGCGGCCCGCGUUGGAUUAGGUAGUUGGUGGGGUAAUGGCCCACCAAGCCGACGAUCCAUAGCUGGUCUGAGAGGAUGAUCAGCCACACUGGGACUGAGACACGGCCCAGACUCCUACGGGAGGCAGCAGUGGGGAAUCUUGCGCAAUGGGCGAAAGCCUGACGCAGCCAUGCCGCGUGAAUGAUGAAGGUCUUAGGAUUGUAAAAUUCUUUCACCGGGGAAGAUAAUGACGGUACCCGGAGAAGAAGCCCCGGCUAACUUCGUGCCAGCAGCCGCGGUAAUACGAAGGGGGCUAGCGUUGCUCGGAAUUACUGGGCGUAAAGGGCGCGUAGGCGGACAGUUAAGUCAGAGGUGAAAGCCCAGGGCUCAACCUUGGAAUUGCCUUUGAUACUGGCUGUCUUGAGUUCGGGAGAGGUGAGUGGAAUGCCGAGUGUAGAGGUGAAAUUCGUAGAUAUUCGGCGGAACACCAGUGGCGAAGG